rnacentral:lncRNA from 12 species
UUUGCGACCAGGAUGAGAGUUUGUUGUGGGAUGUGACCUCCUCCUCCGCAUACACGUCACUCUGUGUCUACCGGAACCAUAAAAGCAACGGCCAUCUACGGAAGCGGAGAAGAAACAAACCAUAAACGAAAACGCCUUUUUCAUGUUGUGAAUGAGGAUUUGAAACGCAAGAGGGCGCUGCGGGCGACUAAUAAGGACUUCGAAGGCAGUGAUAAGAGAAAUAUACAAUCUUUAAAAUGUUUAGUUUUAUGAUCGAAUCUUUUAUGGGGGCAAAACAUAUAAUGCAAUACAAAGAGGACUGAAAAAAAACCCUGUUGUAUCAUAUUUGAUACAAACAUUGUAACCAAGUUUCUUCAGUACAGUAAAUUCUCAUCUUGAAAUAUUACUAACAAUAUAAAAUUAAUCUUAGUUUUAUUUUUUCAUCAACAGAACUAUGCUGUAAAAUGAUUGUAUUUCUGUUUCCUUUAGGAAAGCACAUUGUACACUGAUCAUGUUAAUUCUGAAUAAACAUGUCAAAAAAACAAAAAAAGAUUUCACAGAUUAAAAUGCACGCGUAUCACGACCUGAAGGUGGCUCUCCUACAUACGCUUUAAACAUCAAACUACAGUUUUUGUUAUUCAGUUGUUGUACGUAAACAUAUAGCAUAGUGAUAAGUAAUAAGUUUUGUCGAUUUACUUAACGAUAUCUUAACGGAAAGCGUUCGAGCAUUAUACUGUACUGUUGCCAUUGUUAUGAAUAACUUUAGCAUAUAACUUUUAAUAUAUUAUUUCAAUAAAUUAGAGAACCCGUAAUGGUUAUUGAAUACAUUAACAGUUUAUCAUUACUCUUUCCUAAUCGGUGGGCAGGUGUUUUUGACGUCACUUUGGGUUUAAAAGACUGCCCCAUCACUGAGCAUUGAACCUUGAUCCAGCAGGAAAGAAGACGACACAGGCAUAACAAUGAAUAAAAUGUGGAUACUGUGUUUUGCGAUGCUGGUCAUCACCGUACCAUUUUCAACUCAGGAUAACCCCGAUGUUCCGAAAUCCUCAGGUGGAGGCAGUAGCCCAUCCUCUAGUACUUCCGCAAAUUCCAGUGCUGUAGGAUUGGGUCCUGUGCCUACCACACUGUGCCUGCUGAUCCCUGCAGCCACCCUGGGCUUCAUCCACAGUAGAUCCUAA